rnacentral:rRNA from 1 species
CCUCGGGUUGCAGCAGUGGGGAAUAUUGCACAAUGGGCGCAAGCCUGAUGCAGCCAUGCCACGUGUGUGAAGAAGGCCUUCGGGUUGUAAAGCACUUUCAGCGGGGAGGAAGGCGUUAAGGUUAAUAACCUUAGCGAUUGACGUUACCCGCAGAAGAAGCACCGGCUAGCUCCGUGCCAGCAGCCGCGGUAAUACGGGGGGUGCAAGCGUUAAUCGGAAUUACUGGGCGUAAAGCGCACGCAGGCGGUCUGUCAAGUCGGAUGUGAAACCCCCGGGCUCAACCUGGGAACUGCAUUCGAAACUGGCAGGCUAGAGUCUUGUAGAGGGGGGUAGAAUUCCAGGUGUAGCGGUGAAAUGCGUAGAGAUCUGGAGGAAUACCGGUGGCGAAGGCGGUCCCCUGGACAAAGACUGACGCUCAGGUGCGAAAGCGUGGGGAGCAAACAGGAUUAGAUACCCGUGUAGUC